rnacentral:tRNA from 1 species
UGGCUCAGAUGGUAAAGCAUCCACCUGCCAAGCGGGAGACCCAGGUUCAAUCCCUGG